UACGUAGGGACCAAGCGUUGUUCGGAUUUACUGGGCGUAAAGGGCGCGUAGGCGGCGCGGUAAGUCACUUGUGAAAUCUCUGAGCUUAACUCAGAACGGCCAAGUGAUACUGCAGUGCUAGAGUGUGGAAGGGGCAAUCGGAAUUCUUGGUGUAGCGGUGAAAUGCGUAGAUAUCAAGAGGAACACCUCAGGUGAAGACGGGUUGCUGGGCCAACACUGACGCUGAGGCGCGAAAGCCAGGGGAGCAAACGGG
rnacentral:rRNA from 1 species